UGCUGCUAUAAUCGACGAGGAAGCAGCUUGGUAGCAAGGUUGUGAUGCCGGAAAGCUAAUCGGUGGAGAGAUUCACCAUUGGAGAUGGAAGAGAAGAAUGGUGGUAGAUAUCUUGCCAUUGAAGAUGUUAUCGACUAUGAGGCAAAGGUCAGAUCAAAGCAGGAGCUCCUUGCAGAGGCAAGCCACUAGAAAAAUUGCAAAUACUCAUAUGUGGCAUAUUCAAGGUCUUACACUAUGUGAACAACAUCUGAUUUCAACAGAUAUGAUGAGUAAGCAAUACUCUUUGGUGAAUCUGUGAGAACAUGCAAAUAAAAAAUAAUUUGAGUCCAAGGCAUUUGAUUUAUAUAAAUAAUACUCACCAAAUAAAGGAAUGCUGAAAAAUUUUAUGAAUGAAGCUCAUGAGAAAUUGAAGAAUCUAAUGAAAAAGAAAUGCUUGACAGAGGACAAACAUGGUUCCUGAGAUUGCAUAAGGAUAUUCCUUGCUUGCACCUUAUAAUUAACAAAAAAGGUAUCUCGCAUAAUUUAUGAUUUGAAAUCAUGUACUCAUUUUAUUACAUGUUACUUUUGUAAAUUAAAUUACUACUAAAACUUGAAAUGUAGAUGCAAUGAUGAAAGUUAUCCUUUUAUGUCAUUUCAAGAAAUGAUCUAAACAUAUGGUGCUAACCUUUCCUUUUUUAUAUUUUUUUUUGCAAUGAUGAAACAGUUGUUUUCAGUAGCUGAAGAAUUUGGUUAAUCUAAAUGGAUUCAAUUUGAUACUCCAGUUGUUCAAAUAAAAGUAACAAAGAACAUCAUGUGUUUUGGCUUUCUUUUGAUUUUAAUGCAUUCUCUUUUAUUAAAAUGCCUUUUGCUACUCAAGAAAAUGAGAAUUUAUGUUGAAAAAUUUUUCAAUCACCGGACAAAUAUACAUAUUUUAAAAUUAUGAAGUGUAGAGUAUAGAGGAGGACAGCAACUUGAGGGUCAUUUGUUUUAUGGCGAAGGAUUUUAGUGUGGAUUACUUUCUGUAGAGGUGCAAAAUACAAGUUACUGUUCGGAGGCCUAUAAUUUUGUUGGAGGGUCAAGUAUAUGUGAUGAAGCACUUUUCUUAUAUUUUGAUUUUGUGAUUCUGAAUAAUUAUUUGUACAGUUGUUAAGUUACCUACAUAAUUAUAUUACUGAUAUCACCUUUUUUUAAACCAUUAAAGUUAUUACUUUACC